GCAGAGUGGCCAGCGCUGGCUGGCCUUACCCACCACAGUUCUCUGAAGACCCUCUGCCCAGGCCAGCCAGCCAGCCCAGCCUUUACCACUAAUGGAGGAAAUAGGGUCAGAUUAUUGAAUGUUUGGUCUACCUCAACAUGACUGAAGUGAAAGAAAGACGGUGAGAAACUGGGCAAGAGCCAUACCUUGUAGCAAAGGCUUCUUCUUAAUUCCUCAAAAUCGCAAACCAAGAACAAUUUGAACUGGAGCAGGUCUUGAAUCCUUGCCUGUCCCUGUGCUAUUCUUUCUCUUUGCUAUGGUUUGGAAAUUAAGCCAGCAAAUUUAAUUAAGCCGGCAAAUUUCCUUU